UUUGUAGAAGGUGCUUCGGGCGCGGCCCCGGUCCAAGUCCCUUGGAACAGGGCGUCCCAGAGGGUGAGAAUCCCGUAGCGGCCGAUGGCCAAGCCCGUGUGAAGCCCUUUCGACGAGUCGAGUUGUUUGGGAAUGCAGCUCCAAUUGGGUGGUGAAUUUCAUCUAAAGCUAAAUACCUGCCGGAGACCGAUAGCGCACAAGUAGAGUGAUCGAAAGAUGAAAAGCACUUUGAAAAGAGAGUCAAACAGUACUUGAAAUUGUUGAAAGGGAAGCGCUUGCAACCAGACUCGCUCGCGGGUGCUCAGCCGUCCCCCGGGGCGGUGCAUUCUCCCGCGCUGCGGGCCAGCAUCGGCUCCAGCGGCUGGAUAAAGGCUUCGGGAACGUGGCUCUCUUCGGGGAGUGUUACAGCCCGGGGCGCAAUGCAGUCAGCCGGGGCCGAGGACCGCGCAUUUGCUAGGAUGCUGGCGUAAUGGUUGCCAGCGACCCGUCUUGAAACACGGACCAAGGAGUCGACCAACCGCGCGAGUGUUUGGGUAUCAACCCCGGGCGCGAAAUGAAAGUGAACGCAGGUGGGAGCCCCCGGGCGCACCAUCGACCGAUCUUGAAGUUUACGGAUGGAUUUGAGUAUGAGCACGGCUGGUCGGACCCGAAAGAUGGUGAACUAUGCGCGAAUAGGGUGAAGCCAGGAGAAAUUCUGGUGGAGGCUCGCAGCGGUUCUGACGUGCAAAUCGAUCGUCAAAUUUGCGUAUAGGGGCGAAAGACCAAUCGAACUAUCUAGUAGCUGGUUCCCGUCGAAGUUUCCCUCAGGAUAGCAGCAACGUAAUCAAUCUCAUGAGGUAGAGCAAACGAUUAGAGGCUCAGGGGCUAAUUUUGGCCUUUACCUAUUCUCGAACUUCGAAUAUGUGAGAAGUCCUUGUUGCUUAGUGAA
rnacentral:rRNA from 1 species